rnacentral:rRNA from 1 species
GACGAACCGUGCGAACGUUGUUCGGAAUCACUGGGCUUAAAGGGCGCGUAGGCGGUCGAUCAAGUCUGGGGUGAAAUCUUUCGGCUUAACCGGAAAAUUGCCUGGGAUACUGGUCGGCUCGAGGGAGGUAGGGGCAGCGGGAACUACCAGUGGAGCGGUGAAAUGCGUUGAUAUUGGUAGGAACGCCGGUGGCGAAAGCGCGUUGCUGGACCUCUUCUGACGCUGAGGCGCGAAAGCUAGGGGAGCAAACGGG